UUCAAUGUAUGAAUGAGAGACAUGGAGGAUGUUACCUUCAAAGUCUUGAUGAGCAACUGUUAAACUAUCCCUUUUGUUCUUAAGUCCUAGCAGUGGUUGGUAGGAAGUGUCCUCAAUUCUUUAACAAAAGGAAUAGGAGAGGAGAGGCCUUGGUCUUUGGCUGGGCUGCACCUGAAGGAAGGAGCCGAGGACCCUACGGUGGUAAAGAGAGCCCUGGUUUAAACUGGCAGCUGGAAAAGAGGUUUUAGGGGGCUAUGAUGCAUUUCUUGUGCACUGAAAAAAUUUCCAUUGAAGGUACUGGAGACAGGUAGAACUCAGGACCGUCUCAUCUGGAACCAGAAACUGAUGAAAUAGGCAAGUCCCUGGAACCAGUGAGUAGAUUCAGGUGUUAGAUAGAUCAGGUGACCAGUGAAGGACUCCUCCGACGCAUGUGCUGUCCUUCUGUAGCCUCUGUGGCAUCAAAGUUUUAAUUCUAACUCAUUUGAAUCAGUCUCUGCUUCCUGCCAAUGGAAAAAGGGUAUGAAAGUCUGUGAAGAAGGGUAGCAAAGAUGGAGUCUAUUGUGACGGGGUCCCCCCUCCCCCCGCCAUGCAUUAUGAAAUGGACUUAUGGGCACAAAUACACAUAA